AUUGAACGCUGGCGGCAGGCCUAACACAUGCACGUCGAACGAGUGGCGGACGGGUGAUUAAUGUCUGGGAAACUGCCUGAUGGAGGGGGAUAACUCCUGGCAACGGUAGCUCAUCCCGCAUACCAUCAGAUGUGCCAGUAUGGGAUUCGCUAGUUGGUGGGGUAACGGCUCACCAAGGCGACGACCCCGAGCUGGUCUGAGAGGCUGCCCAGCCACACUGGACCUGAGACACGGUCCAGACUCCUACGGGAGGCAGCAGUGGGGAAUAGUGCACAAUGGGCGCAAGCCUGAUGCAGCCAUGCCGCGUGUAUGAAGAAGGCCUUCGGGUUGUAAAGUACUUUCAGCGGGGAGGCGUUACCCGCAGAAGAAGCACCGGCUAACUCCGUGCCAGCCGCCGCGGUAAUAC
rnacentral:rRNA from 1 species